AUGUAAGUGGCUAGAAUUCGUCGUUGCGUUGGAUUGAUGAUUUAAUUGUCUCUGGUGUCAUGUAGUUAAGCGACUGCGCCAUUCUCGGAAUCACAAGUCAGGAAAUAUUGAAACUUGCAGAGGGGAAGAGGAGGCAAUAUGAGGAAGUGAUCUUACCAUGGGAGCAUUUCUAGACAAGCCGAAAACAGACAAACACAAUGAGCACGGCGUCGGGAAUGGCCUACGGUAUGGACUGGCCAGCAUGCAGGGAUGGCGUAUUGAGAUGGAAGAUGCUCAUGUUGCUGUAGCAAAUUUACCAGGAGUGCUCAAGGAUUGGGCAUUCUUCGCAGUGUUUGAUGGCCAUGCUGGUGCCAAAAUAUCCGCCCAUUGUUCUGAACAUCUGUUGAACUCAAUCACAUCAGGAGAGGAAUUUCAGGCAUCAUCUAUAGCUGAUUUCGAAACAGAAACCGAAGAAAAAACUAUAAACAAAAUAAAGAAGGGCAUUCAUGCUGGUUUCUUAAGGUUAGAUGAAUCCAUGCGACUAAUGCCUGAGGUUGUCAGUGGUGAAGACAAGAGUGGUACUACAGCAGUAUGUGCACUUAUAUCACCUACACACAUUUUUGUGGCCAAUUGUGGAGACUCCCGGGGAGUUCUGUAUCGUGCGGGUAACAUUGGCUUUAGCACUCAAGACCACAAACCUGUAAACCCUAUAGAGAAGGAAAGGAUCCAGAAUGCAGGAGGAUCAGUCAUGAUCCAAAGAGUGAAUGGAUCCCUUGCCGUCUCUCGAGCACUUGGAGAUUACGAGUACAAAAAUGUUGAGGGUAAAGGUCCAUGCGAGCAGCUGGUGUCGCCGGAACCUGAAAUAUAUGUAGAACGUCGCCAGGAUGAAGAUGAAUUUCUGGUGCUGGCCUGUGAUGGAAUCUGGGAUGUCAUGACCAAUGAAGACUUGUGUGCUUUUGUUCGGUCGCGCCUUCUACUUUCCGAAGACCAUGAAUCCAUUUCUAACCAUGUUGUUGACACCUGUCUUCACAAGGGAAGUCGUGACAACAUGAGUUUAGUGUUGCUAACUUUCCCCGGGGCACCCAAGGUAUCACAAGAGGCUAUUAAGAAAGAGAAAGAAUUGGAAGAACUCAUAGAGAAGAAAGUAACGGAGGUGUGCGAACAGGAGGAACCAGUUAGCAUGGCACAGAUAAUGCAAGUCCUUGCUGAUGAAAGUAUCCCCAACCUUCCCCCAGGAGGUGGCCUAACUGCAAAACGAGGCUUCGUGGAUCAGCUAUUCAGAAAAUUGCGACCUGAAUGUGCAAACUCACUGCCUGGCUUGUCGGAAGGGGUGUUUCCUGAAGGAGAGGUGGAUGAUACUGUAGCAGCCAAAGUAUCAGGAUUCAGGUCUAUGUCUGCUAAAAAGAACCCCCAGGAGGUUUCUGCUAUUCAAGUAAUUUAAAGCUGCCAAUCUGGAACUUUGUGAGUGGCAAGUUUGAAAAAAGGAUUAAAGUGAACAAGGAUAAUGAUGCCUACAGUAAUGACUGUUGCACCUAGGGUUGUAUAGAACAACCCUCUAACCCAGCGAUAAAAACACAAACCCUCAAAGUGUUGAUGUGCUGAUGAUACAGUUUAUGCAAGUGUGCAGAAGCAUUCAACAAAUAGGUCAAGUUUGGGGAUUCUGCACCAGAGGUGUAACUUCAGUGAGGGUCAAAUUUUAGUGUGGGAAUUAUACACCAUUGUCUGUAUGUUCUACAAUGAUAAGAAGGGAAGUGCCAUUUACUCUUGUCAACUCUGGUUCAAUAUUCAAAUUUUAAAUAAUGAACUGUUGAUAAGACUGAUGAAUUAGAUUCAAAGGUUCAAAGAAAUUAUGAUUAACUUGGUCCUUGAUGAAAGACUCCUGUUAACCAAGUUCUAGUUCAUUAAAAGGUUCUGGUCAGUGAAGAUUAUAAUCCAAAGUAGUGAACCUGGUUCUUCAUAAGAGAUUUUAGUAUAUCAUGUUGAUAAUGAAAUCCUGGUUUAUAAAGGUCUAGAAAUUUUUUUAUUAAACAGGUUGUAGAUAAUGAAGAUGUUGGUGUAAUGUGAUCAUUCCUGGGGCUCCACCUAUGGUUCAUGAGUCACUGACCUUGCCACAAAUAUUUUUGCAGUCAGAUGUGCUAGUUUCAUAUGUGAUAGUCCUAAUGCUUUCCCCUUCCAGACAAGACUUUCAUUCUAGGGUCGCAAAGUGUGGAGCCUCACUGUUUGGUCAUAGAGAUAUAUUUAUUGUAAAAAAAUUUGUGUGUACGGAUUUGUGAAAAGUUAUCGAGUAACAUAAACCUUAUUAAAAGUGGUGAUAUAAGCAAAACACCAUUGCCAAACAUCUCAACGGGACUCAGCACAUUGCGAUUCCAAGAUGAUCUAGGACUAUAUUCAGGAGAUGCACUCGAGUCAAUUGUUAUGUUGAUGAUGUACUCACUCGUAUGUGAUGCUUUCACCACAAAUUAUGGUAGAUUCCACUUUCUUUUCAUAUCAACUAAAUAUGUAGUACGUAAUACCUUAUCAUUAAAGAUAUACAGAUGUUCAGCGAGUGCCAGGAAGUGCAAGAUUGACACCCGACAUAGUAUUAGUGUACAACAAGCAUAAACUGGGUGUCUUCAUUGACUAGGGUGUUUAUCGUGAGUACUGCCCAAACUGUCUCAUGAAGGACUGUGUGAAAGAAUGUAAUGAUGAUAUGUUAAUACAGUUAAUAAUAAUAAUAAUUUUUAUGCUUUUUUCUGCAUACACCUAUGUUUCACCAUUCUUUGAAGUGAUGUUUGUAGAUAAAGUGUAAGAUUGGUUAAUUUUAUGUAUUCUUAGUCCAUGUGAGACUGACUAUAUUUCAAAUAGCAUCUUAAUUUCAUGUGCCUGUUUUCACUGCCUUUAGUCAUUCAUUGUUUGAAAUUUAUUAUCUAUCCAACCAGGAUACUUGCUGUUGAGUUUUAUUUUUGUUUGUGAUAGUUUUAUUGAAUAAUUUAAAGAAUUCUCAACAUCAAGAGUUACUUUGUGGAGUAUCAUAGAAUUUUUAAGGGGGAAAACAGAACUUAGUUGGGGCAACAUUGCAAACUGAGCAAGAAGAUCCACUUUAAAGUUCCACUGCCAGUAAUGCUUACUCAGGUCCUUCAGCACACCAUCCAUUUGUCAAGUCCUCAUUGGUGAUUGCAGCAGAUUUUUGUCUGCCAGUACUUAGGUUCCCAGCUAAUAUGAAAAAUAUAAAGAACAGAAAUAUCCAUUGUAUUGUAAUACACAUUAGAAAUAGAAUAUUACAGCCCCUUGCUUAAGACAAAGAAAUAUAGUUCAAUUGUUUAUGUAAAUGGAAUUUGUCUCAAGAUUUGUACUUUUUUUUUCUUAGACUGCAUCUUUUAUAAUAUAUUUGUAGGGUAAACUAGGGAAAUUUGUGGCUGAAUUGUGUCUUCUGUAUCUGAAGCUUUCUUCUUUUUUUAUGGAAUACUGUUUCAGGAAGAAAACUUAGGACUAAAAUAUUGUGAUCAGUAUCUUAUCUGUCAACCUUACUCCAUUAUCAAAUCACUAGUGUGGAACAGGUGCAUCAAGCCCAGAGGCCUUCACCUCUGUUACACUCUUAGUUGCCUCGUAACACAAACAGGCAAUAUACAGAGGAUCUCUUCUAUAGGGCCCAACUUUACACUUUCAAAUGUUUUACUGUCAUGUGCCAAGAAAAUUUUGACACACUUCAUGUCUACUUGUGUAAAACCAGUAAAUUAUAAGUAAAUGUGAGGAUAUACUGCUUAAUAAGAACUUUGAUAUUUAUUGGUACAGUGAUUUAAGACGAGCACUCCACUGCUUUUCAAUCACCUUUUAUGUACACCAAUGGCUUUUUUUUUUUUAAGGCUUCACCAGUAUAUGAAGAACAAUUAUAAUUUGAAAUAUUAAUGAUUUUGAUUGUUAUUGUUUUGGAAUAAAAUUUAAAUACUUUUUAUUGUGGAGAAGGUCUUAAGUGUUACUGUCAUGAACAUAGCCAGGGGAAUAUUUUUAUUUCUCUUAGAGAUGUUAUAUUUAUGCCCAAAUUGUGUACUUGUGAGGUUUUAUAGCAAUAUAUGAUGUUGCUUUUAAAGAAGUAAAUAUGAUGAUGAAUACAAUUUGGAUUGUUAGUUAUAAAACCAGAUUUUAUUCCUAUAAACUACUUCUACCUCUUAGACUUGUUUUUUUAGUGUGUACAGAAAGUGAGUUUACAUACUAUUUAUUGUUACUUUGUGCAACUAAGCUUUGCAUGUCCUUAAUUACAAGGGAUUUAAUGCACUGUAUUUACCACUUUGAAGAAGACAUGCAUAAUACACAAGCACAAUACAGUGCUGCAAGACAAGAAUGUUAAUGUCGUGUUAACCAUCAUCUAUCGGCCAAAGAUAUAGAUGACUAUGGAGUAAUCUAUCAGCUAUAAACAAAGGAUUAAAUGUUGAGUUAGCAAUCUAUUAUCUAUCAGCCAUAGACAAAUAUGUUAAUGUUAUCCUUAAGUUAUUACUUAUCAGCCAUAAUCCUUCCUGACUAAAGGGAUAGAACAGGAGCAUCACCAGUCCUCACAAGCAAAUAAUGUUGAGUGAAACAAAUGAAUAACCACUUCCACAUUAUUUAAAUGCCUCCUCACAGUUCACCUGUGUUCCAUUGUAAAAUAUUAUACAUAUCUCUUUCCUGUCAGUUGAUUUAAAUGGGAUAACACAUGUCUAUAUUGUUUAGCAACCUUAACUUUGAAAGGUACAAAGAACUCCACAAAGGAACGUUAAGAAAAAUUAAUCUUUUCACUUAUAUUGCUCUAUUAUGUGAAUGUAAAACCUUUUUUUUUUCUUUUUUUUUUUAAGAAUGCACAAAGAGUAAACUGGCUGUGUUGAUUAAUCACUUUUGCUUAAUCUUUGUAUCAGCUAGCAAUUAUUUAUACUGUACUUGCUCAGGAAAAAAUAUUAUAUCAGAAGAAAAUGGGCAUAUGAAAAUGGCUACAGAACAAA